rnacentral:rRNA from 1 species
UGCACCCUACGGGGCGCAGCAGUGGGGAAUAUUGCACAAUGGGGGAAACCCUGAUGCAGCGAUGCCGCGUGGAGGAAGAAGGUUUUCGGAUUGUAAACUCCUUUUAUCAGGGACGAUAAUGACGGUACCUGAAGAAAAAGCUCUGGCUAACUACGUGCCAGCAGCCGCGGUAAUACGUAGGGAGCGAGCGUUGUCCGGAAUUACUGGGUGUAAAGGGAGCGUAGGCGGGACGGCAAGUCAGAUGUGAAAACUGAGGGCUCAACCUUCAGACUGCAUUUGAAACUGCUGUUCUUGCGUGAAGUAGA